rnacentral:rRNA from 1 species
UACGUAGGGUGCAAGCGUUGUCCGGAAUUAUUGGGCGUAAAGAGCUCGUAGGCGGUCUGUCGCGUCGGAUGUGAAAAUCCAGGGCUCAACCCUGGACCUGCAUUCGAUACGGGCAGACUAGAGUUCGGUAGGGGAGACUGGAAUUCCUGGUGUAGCGGUGAAAUGCGCAGAUAUCAGGAGGAACACCGGUGGCGAAGGCGGGUCUCUGGGCCGAAACUGACGCUGAGGAGCGAAAGCGUGGGGAGCAAACAAG